GGGGUGGGCCAGGGAGUCGCUCGCCACAAGGCGGGAGGAAAGUCCGGGCUCCACAGGGCAGGGUGCCGGGUAACGCCCGGCGGGGGUAACCCCGGGAAAGUGCCACAGAAAGCAAACCGCCUCGCCCCCAUGGGGCGGGGUAAGGGUGAAAGGGUGCGGUAAGAGCGCACCGCGUCGUCGGUAACGGCGGCGGCACGGUAAACCCCACCCGGAGCAAGGCCGAAUAGGGGAGCAUGGGCGUGGCCCGCGUCGCUCCCGGGUAGGCUGCUCGAGGCGGUCGGUAACGGCCGUCCCAGAUGAAUGGCUCCCACCCGUCGCCCUCUGGACGGCGGGGACAGAACCCGGCUUAUCGGCCCACCUCGAUU
rnacentral:RNase_P_RNA from 1 species